rnacentral:rRNA from 1 species
UACAUGGGGUGCAAACGUUGCUCGGAAUUAUUGGGCGUAAAGCGCACGUAGGCGGUUCGUUAAGUCGGAUGUGAAAGCCCUCGGCUCAACUGAGGAAGUGCACCCGAAACUGGCGAGCUUGAGUACGAAAGAGGAUCGCGGAAUUCCCGGUGUAGAGGUGAAAUUCGUAGAUAUCGGGAGGAACACCGGUGGCGAAGGCGGCCUGCUGGGCAGUUACUGACACUGAGGCGCGACAGCGUGGGGAGCAAACAGG